CCUACGGGUGGCAGCAGUGAGGAAUAUUGGUCAAUGGGCGCGAGCCUGAACCAGCCAAGUCGCGUGAGGGAAGACGGUCCUAUGGAUUGUAAACCUCUUUUGUCGGGGAGCAAAAGACGCCACGUGUGGCGUUCCGAGAGUACCCGAAGAAAAAGCAUCGGCUAACUCCGUGCCAGCAGCCGCGGUAAUACGGAGGAUGCGAGCGUUAUCCGGAUUUAUUGGGUUUAAAGGGUGCGCAGGCGGAAGAUCAAGCCAGCGGUAAAAUUGAGGGGCUCAACCUCGUCGAGCCGUUGAAACUGGUUUGCUUGAGUGAGCGAGAAGUAUGCGGAAUGCGUGGUGUAGCGGUGAAAUGCAUAGAUAUGACGCAGAACUCCGAUUGCGAAGGCAGCAUACCGGCGCUCAACUGACGCUGAUGCACGAAAGUGUGGGUAUCGAACAGGAUUAGAUACCCCAGUAGUC
rnacentral:rRNA from 1 species